rnacentral:rRNA from 1 species
GGCCUUUUGAUUUUAAUUUAAGGUCUGGCCUGCUCAAUGAAAAUUUAAAUAGCCGCAGUAUUUUAACUGUGCAAAGGUAGCAUAAUCAAUAGUUUUUUAAUUGAAAACUGGAAUGAAAGGUUGAAUAAGAAAAAAUCUGUCUCUUUUAAAAAUAUUGAAUUUUAUUUUUAAGUUAAAAAGCUUAAAUUUUUAUUAAAGACGAGAAGACCCUAUAGAGUUUAAUUUUUAUUAUUAAUUGAUUUAAAGAAUUUAAUAUUAAUUUUAUUUAAAAAUUUAAUUGGGGUGAUUGAAAAAUUUAAUUAACUUUUUUUUAUUUUUACAUUAAUUUAUGAUUUAUUGAUCCAUAAAAAUGAUUAUAAGAAAAAAUUACCUUAGGGAUAACAGCGUUAUUUUUUUUAAGAGUUCUAAUCGAAAAAAAAGAUUGCGACCUCGAUGUUGGAUUAAAAUUUAAUUUUGGUGUAGAAGCUAAAAAUUUAAGUCUGUUCGACUUUUAAAAUUUUACA